CAGCAGAAAUGGAGCUCUGGUCGAUGAUUAUACUAAUUAUUUUUUCUUUCUCACAUGUUUCGCAACAGCAGACGGAAAUAGUUUCGGAAUGCAACGGUGAUGCUAGCUGGAUAAUAUGCACCGACUGUCGUACAUUAGUUGUCUGUCUUGGUUUCGGAAUAGUUUUCGAAGUUUCCUGUGAAACUGACUUGCCACAGUAUUGUGAAAAUAGUAUAGACGGCUAUGGUGCAUGUGUUGGUCAUAUACCUGAGGGCUGUGAACCUUUAACUACGGAACUAAUAACAACAUCAUCACCAACAUCCACUAUUACUACCAGUUCAAGUACUAGUGCAAGUACCAGUGCAAGUACCAGUGUAAGUACCAGUGAAAGUGUUAGUGAAAGUACCAGUGCAAUUACCACAGCAAGUGCCACUGCAAGUACUAGUGUAAGUGCUAUUGCAAGUACCAGUGCAAUAACCACAGCAAGUACCACUGCAAGUACCACUGCUAGUACCACUGCAAGUACCACUGCAAGUACCACUGCAAGUACCAGUGCAAGUACCGCUGCAAGUACCACAGCAAGUGCCACUACAACUAUUACUAGCACUACUGCUAGUACAACUGCCAGUACUACAACUACUUCUACUACUAUUGCCACUACAACAGCAGUUCCACCAGUAGUCGUCGCCAGCCUUCAGUGCACCGGGGUUGGAUUCUACCCUGAUCCAUAUGACUGUAAUGCGUAUCACUAUUGCACAGGCAGCAGAGACCAAUCGGAGCCACACCGUUGUCCUGCCGGUUACGCGUUUCACUACACUAGCGCUGCUUCCAACGAGUUUCCUUGCAAAGAGUUAACCCUGGACGCGGAUUGUCUCACGGUGACAUGUUCGGGGCGGUCAGUGUACGACGGUUACGAUCCGGCCAAGCUGUUCUACGCCCAUUGCCACACGAAUAUGAACACCGGGCUGCUGGCCAUUGCCAUGUACCGUUGCACAGACGGGGCCGUUUUUAACGGGAACGGUUGCGUGUUUAAAUGUAUUGAGGAGGGACUAUUUGCGAACACGGUUCAACCGUCGACGUACUAUCAGUGCUCAUAUAUGUACGGAGAAGAUACGUUGUGGCUUCGGCUGUUGUACUGUCCACGCAAUUUGCUGUUUGACAGCACUUUGAAGAAAUGUGCCUAAAAGUUAGUGCCAUCGAAGGGAACUUUUAAAACAAAUAUGAUAUUUUUCACCAGUGUUAAUAUUAGGAUUGCGCAAAUAAAAUACGACAUGUAAACAGCUCAAAGUCCUGUGUAGUAUAAAAAGAAUGACCAAUCGAUUGUUGUAAAUUAAUUAGUUUUAGAUUACUAGCCUCCAUAAAAAUAUUAGUGAAAAAAGGAGUCUUUUGUGCUGAUUGUUAUCUUUUACUGGACAUUCAAUCUGAUAGCAAAUCACUUACACUGCUGCAUUCAAUGGUUGCAGUUCUUGUCCAUUUGGCGAACUCACGUGAGCUGAACAUGCGAAAUUUCUUCGAAAUAGCAAAAGCUUUUACCAAGCGGAAGUGUUCGGUCAUGUUGGGCCAAUCGACAGUACAUCUCAUACCCUUCAUCAGUAACG